UACGUAGGCAGCAAGCGUUGUUCGGAGUUACUGGGCGUAAAGGGUGCGUAGGCGGCUUUUUAAGUUUGGUGUGAAAUCUCCCGGCUCAACUGGGAGGGUGCGCCGAAUACUGAGAGGCUAGAGUGCGGGAGAGGAAAGUGGAAUUCCUGGUGUAGCGGUGAAAUGCGUAGAUAUCAGGAGGAACACCUGUGGUGUAGACGGCUUUCUGGACCAUAGCUGACGCUGAGACACGAAAGCGUGGGUAGCAAACAGG
rnacentral:rRNA from 1 species